rnacentral:rRNA from 1 species
AUGGCGCCGCUUCGCGGGGCCAAGCGCCGCAAGAAGGCGGCGGCGGAGAAGAAGGCCGCAAUGGCGGCCGCGGCGGCGGGGCAGGGUGCGCCUGGCGGCGACUGGUGGGAUGGCUUCUGCAUGAGGAUGGCAGGAACAUUAUCCUCUGCGGAGGACGCACACAGAUUUGAGUCUCUCUUUAAAAUGCCCAGAAAAACUUUCAACUAUGUUUGCAGCUUGGUAAAAGAUGAUAUGAUGGUAAGGGCUAGCAGCUACACCUUUAUCGAUGGGACGGUGCUGUCUUUAGAAGAUCGAGUAGCUGUUGCUCUGAGAAGGUUGAACUCUGGUGGGUCGCUGGUGACCGUAGGAACCUCUGUUGGUGUGAACCACUCGACUGUCUCUCUGAUAACUUGGAGAUUUGUUGAAGCUGUGGAGGCACGAGCAGGCCACCACUUACGCUGGCCAGACUCGGAUGAGAUGGCGAUGAUCAAAUCCAAGUUUGAGAAGAUCCAUGGUUUGCCAAACUGCUGUGGUGUAGUAGACACAACUCACAUCAUUAUGUGUCUCUCUUCAGCUGAACCAAACUGCAAGGUGUGGCUAGACCACGAGAAGAAUUACAGCAUGGUAUUGCAGGCUGUCAUUGAUCCUGAUAUGAGGUUCACAGACAUUGUAACCGGUUGGCCAGGUAGCAUGAAAGAGUCGAGUAUUUUACACAGCUCUGGUCUCUUCAGGCUGUGCGAGAACGGUGCACGGUUGAAUGGCAGCAAACUGACGGUAUCAGACGGGUCAGAAGUUGGGGAAUACGUAAUUGGUGAUGCAGGAUACCCUCUUCUCCCGUGGCUGUUCACUCCUUACCAGGAGAAUGACCUCUCAGAAUUGAAAGUGGAAUUCAAUAAGAGACACUCUGCAGCCAGAACAGUCGCGCUGAAGGCGCUGGCGAGGUUCAAGGACACAUGGAAGUUCCUGCAGGGAGAGAUGUGGCGCCCCGACAAGCAUAAGCUGCCUCGGAUAAUCCAUGUGUGCUGUCUGUUGCAUAACAUAGUGAUAGACAUGGAGGAGGAUGCAGCCAUGGACGACGCUCAUAUAUCAGAUGAUCAUGACGCUAAUUACAGGCAGCAAGUGUGCCAGUUAUCAGAUGAGAAGGCUGUCAGGAUGAGAGACAAACUGUCCGAGCACUUGAACAGCAGUUGA